CCCGCUGAACUUAAGCAUAUCAAUAAGCGGAGGAAAAGAAACUAACAAGGAUUCCCCUAGUAACUGCGAGUGAAGCGGGAAGAGCUCAAAUUUAAAAUCUGGCAGCCCUUGUGGUUGUCCGAGUUGUAAUCUAGAGAAGUGCUAUCCGCGCUGGACCGUGUACAAGUCUCCUGGAAUGGAGCGUCACAGAGGGUGAGAAUCCCGUCUUUGACACGGACCCCCAGGGCUUAUGUGAUGCGCUCUCAAAGAGUCGAGUUGUUUGGGAAUGCAGCUCUAAAUGGGUGGUAAAUUCCAUCUAAAGCUAAAUAUUGGCGAGAGACCGAUAGCGAACAAGUACCGUGAGGGAAAGAUGAAAAGAACUUUGGAAAGAGAGUUAAACAGUACGUGAAAUUGUUGAAAGGGAAACGCUUGAAGUCAGUCGCGUUGGCCAGGGAUCAACCUUGCUCUUUUGCUUGGUGUACUUCCUGGCUCAACGGGUCAGCGUCAAUUUUGACCGGUGGAUAAAGGUCAGGGGAAUGUGGCAUCUUCGGAUGUGUUAUAGCCCUUGGUCGCAUACAUCGGUUGGGAUUGAGGAACUCAGCACGCCGCAAGGCCGGGUCUCUAAGACCACGUUCGUGCUUAGGAUGCUGGCAUAAUGGCUUUAAUCGACCCGUCUUGAAACACGG
rnacentral:rRNA from 1 species